rnacentral:misc_RNA from 1 species
AACGCACCUUGCGCCCUGUGGUAUUCCGCAGGGCAUGCCUGUUUGAGUGUCAUGUAACUCUCAACCGCGCCGGUUUUGUGCCGGGGCGGGCUGGAUGUGGGCGCCUGCAGCGUGAUGCUGCUCGCCUGGAAUGUGUUAGUGGCGAUGUGCGAUGCCUGUGGCGUGAUAAGUUUCGCCUGGGCCGAGCGCGUUGGCUGCUGAGAACGUGUCCGCAAGGAUAACCUUUUAUUUCUGACCUCAAAUCAGGUAGGACUACCCGCUGAACUUAA